rnacentral:lncRNA from 1 species
CUGGGAACGUGAGUAUCAACCAAGGCUGGAGUGCAGUGGCACCAUCUCGGCUCACUGCAACCUCUGGCUCCCAGGUUCAAGCGAUUCUCCUGCCUCAGCCCCCUGAGUAGCUGGGAUUACAGGCACGCGCCACCACUCCCAGGCUCCGGUAGAUUGCAAAUGACCUGCUUUCUUUCUGUUCCCGGGCGUUUGGACCCCUGUCUUGGACCGCUGUCGGAUAGUAAAUCCCAAGUAAGGUACCUGCCGUCGGCAGAUUUGAGCUUUCUUCUUGGACACCUAAUACCCAGAGUCCUCCAGGCUCCGGUAGAUUGCAAAUGACCUGCUUUCUUUCUGUUCCCGGGCGGCAUCGGACCCGUCGGAGAGUAAAUCCCAAGUAAGGUACCUGCCGUUGGCAGAUUUGAGCUUUCUUCUUGGACACCUAAUACCCACAGUCCUCCAGGCUCCGGUAGAUUGCAAAUGACCUGCUUUCUUUCUGUUCCCGGGUGGCAUCGACCCGUCGGAGAGUAAAUCCCAAGUAAGGUACCUGCCGUUGGCAGAUUUGAGCUUUCUUCUUGGACACCUAAUACCCACAGUCCUCCAGUAAAUCCCAAGCAAGGUACCUGCCGUCAGCAGAUUUGAGCUUUCUUCUUGGACACCUAAUACCCACAGUCCUCCAGGCUCCGGUAGAUUGUAAAUAACCUGCUUUCUUUCUGUUCCCGGGCUGCGUUCGGACCCCUGUCGGAUAGUAAAUCCCAAGCAAGGUACCUGCCGUCAGCAGAUUUGAGCUUUCUUCUUGGACACCUAAUACCCACAGUCCUCCAAGCUCCGGUAGAUUGCAAAUGACCUGCUUUCUUUCUGUUCCCGGGCUGCGUUCGGACCCCUGUCGGAGAGUAAAUCCGAAAAAAACAAACAAAGACAUGGAUUUACUGUGCAUAUUAGCAGAUCCAUACUGGAAAAUGCAUGGAGGUUUCAUAUACACCACUUACAGUUUUCAGCUCCUCAGUAGUGACAAAGCCAUACCCAUCAUUGUCGAUUCGAUCAACAAUCUUCCCUAGCCUCUCCUUGCUCUCGUCCGGGGUGAGCUCGUCGAAGUUCUUGGAGUCCUCCUUGCCCAGGAAGGCCUCGUGGUCGUACUGGAAGCUCUGGUUGUCCUCAGGGGGCCGCUCGCCCAGCUCCGAGUCGGGCCGCACCACGCGCUCUUUGCGCACCGUGGGCUUGGCCCGCAGAACCCGCGGCGCCAGCACCAGCGCCAGCAGCAGCCCCAGGGCUAACCCCAGGCGGCCACCGCGCGCCAUCGUCCCGAGGAGAGGGCGGCCGGGAGGGAGACGCUGAGCGAGCGACAACAGCGGCAGCUCGGGAAUGGGGGCUCGGAGCGCGGCGGCCAAGUUUUAUGUUAUGUAUAUUUUACAAGUAAAAAAAUUUUUUCACCUCAGCCUGAACUGAA